rnacentral:rRNA from 1 species
GACGAACGCUGGCGGCGUGCUUAACACAUGCAAGUCGAACGGUGAACCUCUUCGGAGGGGAUCAGUGGCGAACGGGUGAGUAACACGUGGGCAACCUGCCCCCGGCUCUGGGAUAACUCCAAGAAAUUGGGGCUAAUACCGGAUGUUCACCGCUUCCCGCAUGGGUGGUGGUGGAAAGGGUUUCCGGCUGGGGAUGGGCCCGCGGCCUAUCAGCUUGUUGGUGGGGUAGUGGCCUACCAAGGCGACGACGGGUAGCCGGCCUGAGAGGGUGACCGGCCACACUGGGACUGAGACACGGCCCAGACUCCUACGGGAGGCAGCAGUGGGGAAUAUUGCGCAAUGGGCGGAAGCCUGACGCAGCGACGCCGCGUGAGGGAUGACGGCCUUCGGGUUGUAAACCUCUUUCAGCAGGGACGAAGCGCAAGUGACGGUACCUGCUGAAGAAGCACCGGCCAACUACGUG